CGUCAAGGAUUGACAGUACCCCGAGAGGANNCACGGCUAACUCCGUGCCAGCAGCCGCGGUAAUACGGAGGUGGCNAGCGUUGUUCGGAUUGAUUGGGUGUAAAGGGCAUGUAGGCGUCUUGGUAAGUCGAACGUGAAAUCCCGCAGCUCAACUGCGGAACUGCAUUCGAAACUACCGAGAUUGAGUACGGAAGGGGAGAAUGGAAUUCCCGGUGUAAGAGUGAAAUCUGUAGAUAUCGGGAGGAACACCAGUGGCGAAGGCGGUUCUCUGGUCCGAUACUGACGCUGAAAUGCGAAAGCUAGGGGAGCGAACAGGAUUAGAUACCCUGGUAGUCCUAGCCGUAAACGAUGGGCACUAGGUGUCGGCUCGCAAGAGUCGGUGCCGCAGUUAACACAUUAAGUGCCCCACCUGGGGAGUACGUCGGCAACGAUGAAACUCAAAGGAAUUGACGGGGGCCCGCACAAGCGGUGGAGCAUGUGGUUUAAUAGGAUGCUACGCCUGGAACCUUACCAGGACUUGACAUGUAAGUGGUAGUGAACCGAAAGGGGAACGACCUCGCAAGAGGAGCUUAUGCAGGUGUUGCAUGGCUGUCGUCAGCUCGUGUCGUGAGAUGUUGGGUUAAGUCCCUUAACGAGCGCAACCCCUAUUUUUAGUUGCUACUGUUGACAUCUAUGUCAACAGGCACUCUAGAAAGACCGCCAGUGAUAAACUGGAGGAAGGUGGGGAUGACGUCAAGUCAGUACGGCCCUUAUGUCCUGGGCUACACACGUGCUACAAUGGGAUGUACAAUGAGACGCGAGACCGCAAGGUGGAGCAAAUCUUCAAAGCAUCUCUCAGUUCGGAUUGGAGGCUGCAAUUCGCCUCCAUGAAGUUGGAAUCGCUAGUAACGGCGUAUCAGCAACGAUGCCGUGAAUACGUUCCCGGGCCUUGUACUCACCGCCCGU
rnacentral:rRNA from 1 species